AUUGAACGCUGGCGGCAGGCCUAACACAUGCAAGUCGAGCGAGCGGCGGACGGGUGAGAAAUGUCUGGGAAUCGCCCUGUAGAGGGGGAUCACAGUUGAAAACGACUGCUAAUACCGCAUACUCUUGGAUUGCACAGGUGGGAUUAGCUAGUUGGUGGGGUAAUGGCUCACCAAGGCGACGAUCCCUAGCUGGUCUGAGAGGAUGAUCAGCCACACUGGAACUGAGACACGGUCCAGACUCCUACGGGAGGCAGCAGUGGGGAAUAUUGCACAAUGGGGGAAACCCUGAUGCAGCCAUGCCGCGUGUGUGAAGAAGGCCUUCGGGUUGUAAAGCACUUUCAGCGAGGAGGCGUUACUCGCAGAAGAAGCACCGGCUAACUCCGUGCCAGCAGCCGCGGUAAUUC
rnacentral:rRNA from 1 species